rnacentral:lncRNA from 1 species
UGUCCACGUGGCUCUUCUGGCCAAACCAUUAAGCCCUGAUUCCAUGAGCUUUUUCUCAUGCAGGACCUUCUGCUCCCACUGGGACUCAAAGGGUUGAAAAUCUGAGGCUGGGAUUUAAACUCAGUGGUGUUGCCACCUACCUCACAAGCAAGGUACUGAGUUCGAUUUCCGGUACCAAAAAAAAAAAAAUCUGGUCAAGAUCACACAGCCAGUAAGUAGUGGAUACAAGAUUUGAACCCAGUUCUUUGAUGACACCCCCACAAGGAAAGCUGGUCCACAUGAAGAUGUGGGAGCCCUGGACAAGUGAGUGACCAGAGGCAGCACAGUUUUGACCGUUCUGUCUUCCUUCUGAUCCACCAUCUGCUUACAAACACCACCAGCUGCUGGGAAGUAAACCUUAAAUUCACACCGCUCAUGUACCAGGAACGUGUGAAUGAGGAGUUCGGAGUAGCUGGCGAUGCUGUAAUUAGGUCCACAUCGCUUAAGUUUCUGCUGCGUGUCUCAUUACUCGGUCAUUUUCACGGCUGAGGGUCCUGUCUCCCCUCAGACUGGAGCUGCACACCAAGGACCCGGGAUCCAUCUGCAUAUUGGCCCUGGAGGACUAGGGAAGUCUCUGCCAUCGGACUGGUCUCCUCCUUCCCCAUUAUACUACUUGACGGGGCUGAGCACCGCCAUCAGAUUGGGCGCACCCUGAGGACAAGGACGCCUCCCUCCUCUGAUGGGGCUUUGCAGGUGAGACCUCCUAAGAAGAGGAGGAGACACAGAUGGGGACACAGUGGGCGUAGCCACCUGUAGCCAGGAGAUGCUGAAUCUACCAGCACCAUGACCUUGGACUUCUGGCCUCCAGAACGUUGAGACAUCAUUGCAGCCUGGCCACCUGGCCCGCGGUACUUGGCUACAGCAGACUGCCCAAGGCGCACGAGCAAGGGCAGACAACACAGAACAACCACCCCCUUCGAGUCCCAGGAGGGAUAUUUAAGGUGCACAGAAAGAUUAUUUUCCUGAAAAACCUUGUUGAAGAAAAGUUGUGAAAUAAUAAUCUGUGAUCCCAGAACUCUGGGAGAGGUUGAGGAGGGAAGACUGAAAGUUCUAGCCCAGCCUGGGCCAUUUAGAAACACAGCAAGGCUCGGGCCGGGGACUGAGCUCAGUGGUGCCGCUGCCUGCCUCACAAGGGCAAGGUCCUGAGUUCGAUCCCGGGUACAAAAAAAGGAAGGAAGGAAAGAAGAGAAAAAAGAAACGUAGCAAGACUCUAUCUCAAAAUUAAAAACGGAAAGGGCUAGGGAUGUAGCCCAGUGUGGAGGCCCUGGAUUCAAACCCCAGUACUACAAAGGAAAAAAAAAGCCACAGCCAGCAGUAACCAACCGCCUCUGCACACAGCCUCGGCCAAAGGCACUGGAGCUUCCUGGCCUGACAGACAGCUUCCGGGGGCACCUACACACUCGCCCCCAGGACCCAGCUGGUGACCUACGCCUAACCCCUGCCCCGGCUGCCUCCCCGCCCUGACACAUGCGCUCUCGGGGAUCUUGACUCACCUCCCUAAGAAGUGACUUGAAUCCAACCCCUUUCUCCAAAUCUGCUUCUGGGGAACCUCAGUCCCAGCCACUUCCUGUCACCAAGCA